AUUGAACGCUGGCGGCAGGCCUAACACAUGCAAGUCGAGCGGAUGAAGGGAGCUUGCUCCUGGAUUCAGCGGCGGACGGGUGAGUAAUGCCUAGGAAUCUGCCUGGUAGUGGGGGAUAACGUCCGGAAACGGGCGCUAAUACCGCAUACGUCCUGAGGGAGAAAGUGGGGGAUCCUCGGACCUCACGCUAUCAGAUGAGCCUAGGUCGGAUUAGCUAGUUGGUGGGGUAAAGGCCUACCAAGGCGACGAUCCGUAACUGGUCUGAGAGGAUGAUCAGUCACACUGGAACUGAGACACGGUCCAGACUCCUACGGGAGGCAGCAGUGGGGAAUAUUGGACAAUGGGCGAAAGCCUGAUCCAGCCAUGCCGCGUGUGUGAAGAAGGUCUUCGGAUUGUAAAGCACUUUAAGUUGGGAAGAAGGGCAGUAAGUUAAUACCUUGCUGUUUUGACGUUACCAACAGAAUAAGCACCGGCUAACUUCGUG
rnacentral:rRNA from 1 species